rnacentral:misc_RNA from 1 species
GUGAAUCAUCGAAUUUUUGAACGCAUAUUGCAUUCUCUGGUAUUCCGGAGAGUAUGCCUAUUUGAGGGUCAUUUGAAAUAAUAUAAAUUCGAAGACUUUUCGUAAUUUAAAAUGGGUUGUCCAUUUUUUGUGGUCUCCUAAUAUCCAUGACAAGCACAUUUUCUUAGAUUGCGUGAUUCUGUCACUUACCUAGCGACUUAACCAGGAAUCAUCGUGCGUGUUA